CAGCCGUAAACUAUGCUCGCUAGGUGUCAGGCAUGGCGCGACCGUGUCUGGUGCCGCAGGGAAGCCGUGAAGCGAGCCACCUGGGAAGUACGGCCGCAAGGCUGAAACUUAAAGGAAUUGGGCGGGGGAGCACAACAACGGGUGGAGCCUGCGGUUUAAUUGGACUCAACGCCGGACAACUCACCGGGGACGACAGCAAUAUGUAGGCCAGGCUGAAGACCUUGCCUGAAUCGCUGAGAGGAGGUGCAUGGCGUAGACGUCU
rnacentral:rRNA from 1 species